rnacentral:lncRNA from 1 species
CUCCCUUUUCUCCUCUCCUUCCUGUACACUUCUCUUCCUCAUCUUUUUUCUCCAAGCCAUCCACAAACUAUUCCUCUUUAUGGCAGCCUCUUCCAUAGCUUCAUCCAUUUUUACCUUCCCCAUCUUCUACGUCCCCAUCCUCUUCUCCUCCCCUUCAUCCUCCUCCACCCUAUUCUUUGCCUGUAGCCCUUCUCCCCUCCUCCCCUUUCUUCUCAUUCCCUUUCUCCUCC